UACAGAGGUCUCAAGCGUUGUUCGGCUUCAUUGGGCGUAAAGGGUGCGUAGGCGGGUCUUUAAGUCAGGGGUGAAAUCCUGGAGCUCAACUCCAGAACUGCCUUUGAUACUGAAGAUCUUGAGUUCGGGAGAGGUGAGUGGAACUGCGAGUGUAGAGGUGAAAUUCGUAGAUAUUCGCAAGAACACCAGUGGCGAAGGCGGCUCGCUGGCCCGAUACUGACGCUGAGGCACGAAAGCGUGGGGAGCAAACAGG
rnacentral:rRNA from 1 species